GUUUUCCUGGAAAAACUCCAGUCCUACCCAUUUGCUGAAUAAAGCAGACAGGUUUUGCCAGGACCCAGGGGCUGCUCUCCAGCUGCCCCACAGACCAGCCAAGGACAAUGUUCACCUCCUUGUGGAGAAGUCACAGAGCAAUCCCUCUCCUGACUGUCACAGCCACACGGAACCAGCAAAGGUCUCUCUCUGGUUCUCAGUCAUGCUUGCUUUGUGAGAGAGCACGGGCAGAUAACGUUACAGAUUCCCUUCCAAGACAAACCGAAACCACACCUCAGGCCACACUUCAAACCACCUCGUCCCUAAACUUGACAAUGGCUGACGGCCAAUACAGCCACAGAUGCCAUAGAGUGCAGUGAGGUGGGUGUGAGUUUCUCCUACCAGC
rnacentral:lncRNA from 1 species